UCGCAAUAAUGACGAUGAUGGUGAUGCGAACUGGAAAUCAUCAAAUGUGUAUCAAUGAACUGGUAAUGCAGUGUAUGCGAGACAAAUUCAUAGAGGGUGCUGUCGUCGCCGAGUGGAACUGACUGUGGUGGCAUCAAGAAUCGUCGCCUGUGGAAGGUGAAGGUAUACUCGUCGCUAUCAUCGUUUCUCUUCCCCUCGCCGUCGUCUCUCUCUGUCGCUGUCGAGCCCUCUCUCUGUCGCCGUCGAGCCCUCUCUCUGUGUCGCCGUUGAGCUCUCGAUCUCUCUAUGUCGCCGUCGAGCUCAAUGACCGUUCCUCCAGAUUGGGUACUUGAGGUU